rnacentral:rRNA from 1 species
AUUGAACGCUGGCGGCAUGCCUUACACAUGCAAGUCGAACGGCAGCACGGGGCAACCUGGUGGCGAGUGGCGAACGGGUGAGUAAUGCAUCGGAACGUACCUUUCAGUGGGGGAUAACGUAGCGAAAGUUACGCUAAUACCGCAUAUUCUGUGAGCAGGAAAGCAGGGGAUCGCAAGACCUUGCGCUGAUUGAGCGGCCGAUGUCAGAUUAGCUAGUUGGUGAGGUAAAGGCUCACCAAGGCGACGAUCUGUAGCGGGUCUGAGAGGAUGAUCAGCCACACGGGAACGAAGACACGGUCCAGACUCCUACGGGAGGCAGCAGUGGGGAAUUUUGGAAAAUGGGGGCAACCCUGAUCCAGCCAUGCCGCGUGAGUGAAGAAGGCCUUCGGGUUGUAAGGCUCUUUCAGCCGGGAAGAAAUCACAUGGGUUAAUACCCUGUGUGGAUGACGGUACCGGAAUAAGAAGCACCGGCUAACUACGUGCCAGCCGCCGCCGUAAGAC